GAUGAACGCUGGCGGCGUGCUUAACACAUGCAAGUCGAACGGUGAAGCAGAGCUUGCUCUGUGGUUCAGUGGCGAACGGGUGAGUAACACGUGAGCAACCUGCCCCUGACUCUGGGAUAAGCGCUGUAAACGGCGUCUAAUACUGGAUAUGAGCUGCGACCGCAUGGUCAGCAGUUGGAAAGAUUUUUCGGUAUGGGAUGGGCGCACGGCCUAUCAGCUUGUUUGUGAGGUAAUGGCUCACCAAGGCGUCGCCGGGUAGCCGGCCUGAGAGGGUGGCCGGCCACCAGGGGCCUGAGAGAGGGAGCAGUAUCCAACGGGCGGCAAUAGGGGAGAGUCUUGCACAGCGGGCGAGAGCCUGAUACAGAGACGCCGGGUGAGGGAAACCGGCCUACGGGUGAUGAACCACUGUGAGAGGGAAAAAGCAGAAAGUGACGGUACCUGAAGAAAAAGCGCCGGCUAACUACGUG
rnacentral:rRNA from 1 species